rnacentral:rRNA from 1 species
GACGAACGCUGGCGGCGCGCUUAACACAUGCAAGUCGAACGGAAAGGCCUGCUUUCCCUUGUGGAUUGCGGGUACUCGAGUGGCGAACGGGUGAGUAACACGUGAGUGAUCUGCCCCCAACUUGGGUAUAAGCCUGGGAAACUGGGUCUAAUUCCCGAUAGGACUGCAGGGUGGUGCCUGUGGUGGAAAACGAUUUUCUAGUGGUUGGGGAUGAGCUCGCGGCCUAUCAGCUUGUUGGUGGGGUAAUGGCCUACCAAGGCGGCGACGGGUAGCCGGCCUGGGAGGGUGGACGGCCACAUUGGGACUGAGAUACGGCCCAGACUCCUACGGGAGGCAGGAGUGGGGAAUAUUGCACAAUGGGCGGAAGCCUGAUGCAGCGACGCCGCGUGGGGGAUGACGGCCUUCGGGUUGUAAACUCCUUUCGACCGCGAGGAAGCCACCUGGUUGGAAGGGUGGUGACGGUAGUGGUAGAAGAAGCACCGGCUAACUACGUG